rnacentral:lncRNA from 1 species
CGCGGGGGCGGAGGCGGCAGGGAUGCGAUGGCGGAGUCGCUGCCCCUGGAGGAUGCCUCAGUGCUCUCCCUGAUCCCAGCAGUGGGCCCAAGCCUCAGGGUGCUAGACUUAUCCUCCUGUGUUGUCCUCACCAAUCAGACCCUGCAGGCCAUCCGUGCCUACCUCCCCUACCUCUCAGUCCUGCGCCUGGCCUGGUGCAAGGAGCUCUGUGACUAAGGGCUUUGGGGGCUGGAGGAACCAAGUGAGUAGCCUGGGGUCCCAAGUGACAGACCCUCAAGGUCAUAGAGGGUGGGGUGGUCCCUGGGCUCAGUUGCCCUGCCCUUUCAAGUCUCUCUCUAGGAGCGUUUGAGGGCCAAACUCAGGAGAAACCUAAGUAAGGGCUUCUUCCUGAGUCAUACUGAGAGCUGGUGCAUCAGGCCUUGGGCCCCAAGGACCCUUCUCCCCAACCACAGGGCCCCUUCAUGCUGCAGGCCCUGCAGGAGUUGGACCUCAUAGUCUGCAGCAAGCUGACUGAUGCCACUUUGGCCAAGGUGUGGGGCGAGGGGUGUGGAUAGCCUGAGGGGCUGGGUCUGGAGCCAGGGGCCCCGGGCUGACCCACUUUUUGGUUGGAAAAAGUUCCUUUCUUAUUGGCUUCUGCUCCCUAUGGCCAUUCCUCUGGCUAGGGGUGGGGGAACCUGGAAGGGCUCCAGACCCUGGGCUCCAAUGCCAUACUAUACUUCCCACCCCCCACCCAUCCUUGCAGGGGCUCUACUUCCCCCAGCUGAGGCAACUGUCACUGAGCUUGUUGCCAGCACUCACAGACAAGGGGUUGGUGGCUGUGGCAGGGGCCACCCCAGCCUGGAGUGCUUGGUGCUGAGUCACUGCAGCCUCGUCAGUGACAAGGGCUGGGCCCAGGCAGCCAGCUUCUGGCUGAGGCUGCAGCACCUCAGCCUCUCCAGCUGCACAUAGCUCGUGGAGCAGUGCGUGUGUCGGAUGAUGCCACAGUGCAGGGUCAGGCUAGGGCCUCAUGCCAGGUUAGGCACUUAUUCAGUGGCCUCCCUGCAGAACACUGGAUACCAUUAGGCAGGCAUUGCAAGCAGCUCCAGAUGUUAGAUGUGACCGUGUGUCCUGGUAUCAGCAUGGCUGCCAUCAGGUGCUUCCAA